AGAGCGAACGCUGGCGGCAGGCUUAACACAUGCAAGUCGAGCGGGCGUAGCAAUACGUCAGCGGCAGACGGGUGAGUAACGCGUGGGAACGUACCUUUUGGUUCGGAACAACACAGGGAAACUUGUGCUAAUACCGGAUAAGCCCUUACGGGGAAAGAUUUAUCGCCGAAAGAUCGGCCCGCGUCUGAUUAGCUAGUUGGUGAGGUAACGGCUCACCAAGGCGACGAUCAGUAGCUGGUCUGAGAGGAUGAUCAGCCACAUUGGGACUGAGACACGGCCCAAACUCCUACGGGAGGCAGCAGUGGGGAAUCUUGCACAAUGGGCGAAAGCCUGAUGCAGCAACGCCGCGUGGGGGAUGAAGCUUCUCGGAGUGUAAACCCCUUUCGACCCGGAAGAAAGCCCGCAAGGGUUUGACGGUACGGGUAUAAGAAGCCCCGGCUAACUACGCGCCAGCAGCCGC
rnacentral:rRNA from 1 species